rnacentral:rRNA from 1 species
AUGGUGAAGGAGGCGCCCACCACUCCGAGCGCCAAGGGCAAGGGCGCCGCGUCCGCGUCCGCGUCCGCCUCCGCCUCCGCGAAGACGCCGCCGUCCAAGGCCACCCCCGGAUCGGUCAGGCGCAAGAGGGCGUGUAAGAAGAAGAAGGCCGAUCCGGAGAAGCAGAAGGCGGCCGCCGCCGCUGCAGUCGCGGCCUCCGCCGACGCGCCUGCUUCGGGGCCCACGCCGGUGGUUCCCGCCCCGGCCGACGUCGGCACUUCGGCCGCCCUUGUGGUCGCCGAGAACGGCGGCGCCGACGGGAAGAUGGUCGCCAAGGCCAACGGUGAUGGCGAUAAGUCCGUCGCCAAGGACAACGGUGGUGGCAGUAAGUCCGUCGCCGAGAACAAGGGUGAUGGCACUAAGUCCGUCGCCAAGGACAAGGGUGAUGGCAGUAAGUCCGUCGCCGAGAACAAGGGUGAUGGCAGUAAGUCUGUCGCCGAGAACAAGGGUGAUGGCAGUAAGUCUGUCGCCGAGAGCAAGGGUGAUGGCAUUAAGAUGGGCACUGGGAACAGCAGUGCUGACAGGAAGAUGGGCACUGGGAACAGCAGUGCUGACAGGAAGAGGGGUAGGAAGGAUAAGAUGAGGGGGAGGGAGAAGGGGGAAGGACAGGGGAGGGUGAACCCGAAGGGGGAGGAGAAGGAGAAGAAGGACGACACAGCGGGGGAGGAGAGGGGCAGUGCUGGGUUUAUCUUCAUGUGCAAUGGAAAGACGAAGCCGGAGUGCUUCCAGAACAGCGUGUUUGGCUUGCCCAAGGCGAAGAUAGAUGUGGUGGAGAAGAUCCGACCAGGGGCGAAGCUGUUCCUGUAUGACUUUGACCUGAAGCUUCUCUAUGGGGUGUACAAGGCAACGGCAAGAGGAGGGAUGGAUCUUGUGCGACGUGCGUUCAACGGGAAAUUCCCUGCUCAGGUCAAAUUCAGGAUUGAUAAAGAUUGUCUUCCGCUUCCUGAGAGUAGUUUCAAGCAUGCCAUUAAGGAGAACUAUGAUUCAAAGGGAAAAUUCACCCAAGAGCUCAAUUCUAGACAAGUCCGUAAGCUACUGGCACUAUACAAGCCAAUUAACAUACAUCGGCCAUCUUCCCAACAUGUUCAAGAAGUUCCUCGGACAAACCGUGUUGAAAGGCUCCUGCCUCACUAUGUUGAAGAAAGGCGACAGCCAUAUGAUUAUGAAGAAAGGAGGCUGCCACGAUAUCAUGAAGAAAUGCAACACCCACAAUUUGCUGAGGAAAGGAGGUUAGCCUAUGAUUAUGAAGAAAGAAGGCCAUCACUCCAUGUUGAAGAAAUUCGACGCCCACAAUUUGUUGAAGAAGCUCAGCCACCUACAUACUAUCAUGUUGCUCCUGCUCCUCAUGGUUCAUACCAUCCACAUCAAGCUAAUAUCAUUUAUGAAAGGGCUCCAGCUGACGCCGCCAACAGGGUGGAUCCAUUCCUUCCAAGAGACUACAGGGUGCCGCCGCAGGAGGUCGCCGCGCACCCCAGCUACGCUGACGAGAUCUACCGUGGUGCUUACCCCGCCGCUCAGGACCUGUCCUACGCGGCCAGGCCUGCCGCUUACCCGGCAAACCUCCAGGGGCCUGCUGCUUCAAGGGUGCCGGUGUCCUCCCUCUACUCGUUCGCCGGCGCACCGGCGUACAGAUGA